rnacentral:rRNA from 1 species
UGGGGAAUAUUGGACAAUGGGCGCAAGCCUGAUCCAGCAAUGCCGCGUGGAUGAAGAAGGUCUUCGGAUUGUAAAGUCCUUUCGGCGGGGACGAUGAUGACGGUACCCGCAGAAGAAGCCCCGGCUAACUUCGUGCCAGCAGCCGCGGUAAUACGAAGGGGGCUAGCGUUGCUCGGAAUGACUGGGCGUAAAGGGCGCGUAGGCGGACAUUUUAGUCAGGCGUGAAAUUCCUGGGCUUAACCUGGGGGCUGCGUUUGAUACGGGGUGUCUAGAGUGGGGAAGAGGGUCGUGGAAUUCCCAGUGUAGAGGUGAAAUUCGUAGAUAUUGGGAAGAACACCGGUGGCGAAGGCGGCGACCUGGUCCUUGACUGACGCUGAGGCGCGAAAGCGUGGGGAGCAAAC